ensembl:lncRNA
GGAUCAUUUCUAUAGAUUUUGACUUGAGAAAUAUCGUACGAAAGUGAUCGGUUACUCUAACCACGAUGAAGAGUAUUGAUGUUCCCUUCUGAGCGCGAAGCGGGUAGCGAGUAAUGAUUGAUUUCAUCCGCUCGUUGUCAUUGAUGACCGUUCCUUGCUCCCUCGUGGAGCCUGGAGGUAGGGAACAUGAUCAGAGUGGUUAGGUCUAGAUUUUGUCAAAAAUAAGAAUAUUGAGCGUCAUAUUCAGUCUCUAUGCUCAAAUGAAAUUGACGUGCUCUUGCGGUAUCCUUAAUAGUAGACCAUGUUUUGUAAACCAUUUGAAGUUAUCUGCAAUGCAGGUUUAAAAUAUCUUUUCCAGCUAUUUUAAUCAAGUAAAAAGAGAACCGAAACGUAUUUUGUGACGGAGGAUAUAGCCUACAAAGCAUUUUGAACACGCAGACCUGGAAAACCUGUAAAAUAACGGAACAAUAUUGCAGUAGUAUGAAUUUCGUGUGCUCUUUAAUACUAAGUUGGAUUUUAGAUCAUAAAUAGAGAGGGAUGUCGU